ACGGUGUACAAAUGCUGUGGCAACACCUGGGACUCCCUGCCUCUUUUCUGGAUGUUUCUGAAUAACCCUCCCCUUAAUUUGCAUGUAAUUAAAAGUAGGUAUAAAUACUGCCAGCCAGGAGCCCCUAUGCUGCUAACUCUGGGUGCACUGCCUAUGGUUUAGCCCUGAUCCACAAGGACCAGUCACUGAGCUGUGCACUGCUGCUUCUACUAACUUGCUUUCUUCCACUGCUGGCUCACUCUUGAAUUCUUUCCUGAGCAAAGCCAGGAACCCACCCAUGCUAACCCCCGCUUUUGGGACUCGCCUGCCCUGCAUCAAGAACAUCAAUAAAAGAAGAAGAAUUCUGAAUGCCAAAAAAAUGCUACUGCUCACUUUUCCUCAAACUGUCUAUGGUGAAAGCAGCAAGACCUUCACCAGAUGUAGGC
rnacentral:lncRNA from 1 species